CUCCACCACGCGUGCGAGGAAGCACAGUUGAACUCGAGCAAGAGGAAGUCGCUGUCGCUGGCCGCUGGGGGAGUAGAUGACGUCGCCGUCGGAGCAACCACUGUCGGAGAAGACUUCAAUCUCGCCGCCGGUGGCGGCAACACCGCGAGAAGAUGUGGUCAACGCCGGUUAGGCCUUGAGCUCGCCGGCGGCAGCGGCGCCACGACAAGGAACAACUGUUUUGAAAGAGGACCCGAGCUCGGCGGCGGCGUCAAUGAACACCGCGAAAGCUGCAAUCUUGGAGGUCGGAAUCGGACAGGCUCCUUCGUCCUGGAACGACUUAUACAGAGAACCAAACGAGGACGCGCCAUCCAACUCCGGAUCCGAUUAGAUGCAGUCCUGUAGACAAUGUUGUGCUGAAGAUAUUUCUGUUAACCCAGAACACCAAUCUCUCUAGGAACAUGAAGGUAAACGCCUUUUGCUAAUGCCUUUUGCUUCAGUGUCUACUGUCACUGUUUGAGUAUAGAACAAAAUGAUUGACAUUUAAAACCACCAUACCAUGUUCAUCUGUGUCACAACCUUGGUUUGUUUUUUUGGGAAUCAGGUACUUCACCAUUGAAUCUUGC
rnacentral:lncRNA from 2 species